rnacentral:rRNA from 1 species
GUGCCAGCCGCCGCGGUAAUACCGGCAGCUCAAGUGAUGUCCCAUAUUAUUGGGCCUAAAGCGUUCGUAGCCGGCCAGUCAAGUCUGUUGGGAAAUCCACGCGCUCAACGCGUGGGCGUCCAGCGGAAACUGCACAGCUUGGGACCGGAAGGCUCGAAGGGUACGUUCGGGGUAGGAGUGAAAUCCCAUAAUCCCGCACGGACCACCGAUGGCGAAAGCACUUCGAGAAAACGGAUCCGACAGUGAGGGACGAAAGCCAGGGUCUCCAACCGGAUUAGAUACCCCUGUAGUCC